rnacentral:lncRNA from 1 species
AUGACGUGGAUUUUCGUUGGGCGGUCGGGGCCAGGAUGGCUCCACCCAGCGCGCGCGUCCGAGAUUGUCGCGACAUCCGUGAAGACCCACGUGACUUCUGAGGGUACGAGGUCGACACGGACUACGACAAGGAUGACUCUGCUCACGAUGGGCAGGAUGGCUCCGCCCAUCGUGCCUGUCCAGGAUCAUCGCGAGGUCCGUGGAGACCCACAUCACUCCCAGAGGUGCGACAACAGCGAGGAGGAAGACAGCGAUGCGGGGGUAAGCUGGUGGAACAGGGCGACAGGAAGUCGCCAGCCAGCAACUGCACUGCCGGAACUGCCUCGCAGUGAGUACGCCAUCCCAGCUCCAGUCGACGACCCGCCUUCCCUCUGCCCGGACGUUCCCCAGCUGAAUGGCAGUGCAUCACCAGCACCCCCACAUGCUGGAGAAGACGUCCACCACCCCCCAUGCCACACGGCCACCACCAUCUCCAGCGACAUGCCCAGCCCCGUGUGGGACAGCCCAAUGGUCCUGGGACCCUUCAGUGGGGCAGCAGAUGCAGAUGAGAUCACCACCAUCCUCGCAUGUCUGACUGGGUCAGCAUGGGGUUGGGGCGCAGCCCUCUGGCAGCAAGGAGAGACAGACAGAAGGAGUUUUCGGGACUUCCUGCAGAGACUGAGGGCGGAGUUUGAUCGGCCAGAGCCUGAGCUGUGGAUCGAACUCUGCCCCUCCACCACAUCCAGCGCCAGUCAGUAUCCGGGGCAAGAAGACUCAGCACUGGUGGGCAACGAGAAUGUCACGCCUCCCGAGAUCCUGGUUGUGCCCCCUGAGGAGGUCCCGGAGACCCCAGAGAGGGAGCCCGACGACCCUCUCUUCUGUUUGUCUCUGUCUGUGUGUAUGUGCGUAGUAUUUGUGUCCGUAUGUCGCCCCCACUUCCCCUCUUUGUGUCCACCAGAUCCGCCUCCAGAGGGGUUGAGUGCCAUAGAGCCCCCUGGUAGGCAUGAGGUCUCAGCUGGGACAGGCAGGAAGAGGGCCUGCUUGUCCCAACGGACGCAGAAGGGGCUAGCUGGAUGGUCUGGCAAUGCCCCCCCCCCCCUUGGCACCAGGGCCGUGCAGCGAGAGGGGCUGCAUGGUCCCAGAAGGCACCAGCCUGGGGUGCAUGGAAUGGAGCAGAGGCUCCGGGGCCACCUCCCUGACGCGUCAGAGGGGACGUGCGGAGACAAGGCCCACACGUACCCGGAUGGAUCGGCCCUGAUCGGCCCUCCGAGGACGUAG